UCCAACACAGUCUCACUCUCUACUCGUCAAAUGUCUGACGCAUGGUCAAGUGAUCUGGCGUCACUUUUUUGACGCACUGGGUAUACCUUUGGCGUUAUUUUUCAACGUGCAGGUUAGUCCGAUAGACUUCUAUAGAACUCAGCAGCGUUUAAAUUUGACGUCUUGGUUCAGCACACCGCAACUACACUGAAUAAAUAAAAAUAAAUAAUAGGCUACAAAAAAAAUUAUAUAUGACAGAGAUCGUUUUUAUCUGGCCCUCCAACUUGUUUUUAAGGGUUUAAAUAUUCUCGCAAUCUGAUAUCAAAGUGAUCUCUGUGCCAAAGCUUAGCGCGUUCAUCAGUGGUGAGUUUAACAACACUCAACUGCAGGUAAAACAGCACUCAGCGGUGAGUUUGACCAAAGCAACGCUCAACUGCAGGGAAAACGACAUAAAAGUUCAUCAUCUCUAUGAAAUCACGUUCAAGAAGUCUCAUUCAGCACACAUCGCGAUACUUGCCAUCAGUUUCCAUGUGCCACAGGGUCGCUGAAAAGAUGUAAAGGAAGCAGUCAUCCCUGUGGUGUUUGUGGAGAGGUUUUCCUUCAGAAAUGGAGAAGACUGAAAGCUGCGGAGGCAGACAUUUGCAGCAGAUUGUUUGCAGAUAAUGCUGUUCAAGCUCAACAGCUCUUUUAAGAGCCAACCCUCACAAACCUUCCUAAAAACUAAAAGAGCUGUUACUGAGUCUCAGCGAAUCUUGCCAUGAUCAGCUCUUCCCAGAGAAGGAAGACCAAGGAAAUGAUUUGCUCAUGAGGAAUGAAGACGGCCAUCUUGAGCCCAAACAAAGACAGAAGUCCUCUGAUGAUCUCAUCAGCCAAAUGGGGGGUUUUGACCAAGUGAUGCUCUUGAAAGGACUGAAAGAAGAGGAUGUGGUAAAUUGUCUUCAGAGAAAAACCUUCUCUAAAGGUCUUAAAACAGCUUGAAGAAUGGUCUGGGAUCUUAGGACUGAGAGAUCCUCUGGCUGAGAGAAGCUACACCACAUCAGUGCUGGAUAUCAACCACAAACAGUUUCCAGACACGAGAGAAGAAGAACACGAUGGGGAGAUGAAACCAGUUUAGAUGUGAUGAUGGGAAUCAUUAUUUUCUGGAACAGUAUCACAUGUCUCAUAAGUAUCACAUGAUCUGAUUGUUGACAGUUGACUGAAUGGAUUCUUUUUACUUUUAAGGACAUUUCAUCACUCAUCUGUGUGAACUGAUUAAUUUAUGAUAUUAAUGAAUUUUUGAUCCUUUAUUAUUUUCCUUGAAUUGUGUUUGUCUUGAAGCUACUUUAUCAACUUCAUAGUCUAUGCUUCAAUAAAAUUAAUAUGGUGAAUAUUGUGUGUUGAAAAUUCUUGGUAAAUUCAUAAUUUUACUAGAUACUGUAGGCUACUAUGGGUUUAUUCUACACUUGAAAAACUACAUAUUAAUUACCAGGAUUAUUUUUUGCUUAAACAUUAAUGACAUCUGGAACAACAAUACACCAGAAAGUUAUUAUUGUAUAUAUUUAAUCACAAAUAUGCCUAUAUAUCUAUAUAAAGGGAUUUACUAGAUGAAUUAUUUUGAAAAGCC